UACGUAGGGGGCAAGCGUUGUCCGGAAUCAUUGGGCGUAAAGCGCGCGUAGGCGGCCCGGUAAGUCCGCUGUAAAAGUCCAGGGCUCAACCCUGGAAAGCCGGUGGAUACUGUCGGGCUAGAGUCCGGAAGAGGCGAGUGGAAUUCCUGGUGUAGCGGUGGAAUGCGCAGAUAUCAGGAAGAACACCCGUGGCGAAGGCGGCUCUCUGGGACGUGACUGACGCUGAGACGCGAAAGCGUGGGGAGCGAACAGG
rnacentral:rRNA from 1 species